UUUAUCGUCAUCUUAGGCUUUACUGUGCUAGGGUUUUGAAGGUAAUAAUUCUUCAAAAAGGUACGAAUAGUUAGCAAUGAAUCCGGCUCACUUCCAAUACGCGCCGCCGCCACAUUGGUUCCCAAUGUUACCGCCGGAACCACCGAAUACGAGUACAUUUUGGGCGACCAGAAAUGUGCGUGAUCGCCUUUGUGAAUUGCAAGAUACUCUCAAUCUUGCAAAUGCGGUGCAAAAGGAGCUGGAGGUACUGACGAUGAUAAAAAAUGGGUCGAUGGACCCUUCUGUUUCCGAGUUCUUGAAGUAUCUGGAAGAUAGGGGGAUUGACUUGGAAACUCAAGAAUUACUUUCUAUGGAAGCAGCGAAUGCUUUGAUGUCAAAGCUAAGAGCUCAGUUAGAGCCCUUCAGAUAUGUCUCGGAUGAAGCGACCCGGUGGGAGGAGAAAUCAGCUGUAGCUAAACUGACCAAUAAAAUUAAGAAGUAUAAAAGGAAUAAACUUUGGAGGAAAAGGAAGCGAAAACGAAUUGCAGAAUCGCUUGCUAAGGAGCAUGAACGAUUUGAUCAAGCUGAUCGAGAAGCUGAUGAAUGGAGAGCCAGGGAGAUUGCCAAGGACGUUGCAAGCCGCAAGGUGGAAAAGAUGAAGGAAAUAGCAAAGCUUAAAGCCAAGGAAGAAAAAAGGAGACUAGAAUCUGAGCUUGAGCUAGUUCUGAUGGUGGAGAAGUUGCAAGAGUUGCGCUCCAUGAGGAUCCAGAAAUUGACGAAACAGGGCCAUUUUCUCCCAGAGGAAGAUGACAAGUUUCUUGAGAAAGUUCGAGCUGCAGUUGAGGAAGAGGAGAGACAAGCUUUGGCUGCAGCUGAUACAGAUGCUGCUAAAGAUGCCAUUGCAACUGCCGAGGAAACUAGGAAGGCAACUCAGACUCAAAGGCCCAUCUCAAAAGAUCUUAUCAGCAAUCAGCCUGAAAACAAUGAGAGCAAAGAUCAAAUAGCACCAAAUGAGGAUGAAAAGGACUCUACUGCAGUCACUGUUAAGGAAUCUGGCAAAAGUAUAGUAGAGGGACAUGGUUAUUCUGGGGCAUAUGAUUCUUUGACCAAUUAACCGAUCGAGUUCUAUCACUAUUACCAUGGAAGCAAUUCUGAUAUGGGCACACUCAUCGAGGUUAGAAGGACAUGGGAUGCUUAUAUCAGACCUGGAGGAAGCCGCAUACCAGGCAACUGGGUUCAGCCACCUCCUCCUGCUGAUGAGAUAUGGGCAUCCUACCUGGUAAGGCCUAAAUGAAACCCUAGUUUUCAAAGUUCUAUAGAUCAUACAAUUACAGCAGUAGCUAUUUUGAACUUCUAAACAUUAAAAGCUGUUCUUAUUUUCUUUAUAGUUUUUCCUAUUUCUCAACCUCUUUUAGUUCUUUCAUGUUUCUUAAGAGAUUAUACUUCUAUUGACCGUUGUAGAUAAAGAAGU